GAUGAACGCUGGCGGCGUGCUUAACACAUGCAAGUCGAACGGAAAGGCCAGUGCUUGCACUGGUGCUCGAGUGGCGAACGGGUGAGUAACACGUGGGUGAUCUGCCCUGCACUUUGGGAUAAGCCUGGGAAACUGGGUCUAAUACCAGAUAGGACCAUGCUUUGGAUGGUGUGGUGGAAAGUUUUUUCGGUGUGGGAUGAGCUUGCGGCCUAUCAGCUUGUUGGUGGGGUAAUGGCCUACCAAGGCGUCGACGGGUAGCCGGCCUGAGAGGGUGUACGGCCACAUUGGGUCUGAGAUACGGCCCAGACUCCUACGGGAGGCAGCAGUGGGGAAUAUUGCACAAUGGGCGCAAGCCUGAUGCAGCGACGCCGCGUGGGGGAUGACGGCCUUCGGGUUGUAAACUCCUUUCGCAACUGACGAAGCUUUUUGUGACGGUAGGUUGAGAAGAAGCACCGGCUAACUACGUG
rnacentral:rRNA from 1 species